rnacentral:rRNA from 1 species
GGAAGUAAAAGUCGUAACAAGGUUUCCGUAGGUGAACCUGCGGAAGGAUCAUUACUGAUUUAGCGAACCGAGCAUUAGCGAGGUUUUGCGAUCAAUUUAUAUUUAAAACCCACUCUUUAAUGUAUAAAAUUUGUAUUAAUGAUAAAUUAAAAGAUCACUUUCAACAACGGAUCUCUUGGCUCUCGCAUCGAUGAAGAACGUAGCGAAGUGCGAUAAGUAAUGUGAAUUGCAGUAUUCCGUGAAUCAUCGAAUCUUUGAACGCAUAUUGCACUUUCUGGUAUUCCGGGAAGUAUGCCUGUUUGAGGGUCAGUUAAAUAAAAAUCGGUGUUGUUGCCGCUUUUCGUGGUGACGCGUCAGAAUUGAGUUGUCUUACCUUCGGUUAAGUGACUUAAAAUUUUGUAUGAUUUUCGAACGUAUUUAAAUUUAUUUGAACGUUUGAUAUCGAAUGCUUAUUAGGUUCGGUCAUCCUCAUGACUCGCGCCUAUAAUUUUUCAUUAAAUGACCUCAAAUCAGGUAAGAAUACCCGCUGAACUUAAGCAUAUCAAUAAGCGGAGGA